GCGAACGCUGGCGGCAGGCCUAACACAUGCAAGUCGAACGAACUCUUCGGAGUUAGUGGCGGACGGGUGAGUAACACGUGGGAACGUGCCUUUUGGUUCGGAAUAACUCAGGGAAACUUGUGCUAAUACCGAAUGUGCCCUUCGGGGGAAAGAUUUAUCGCCAUUAGAGCGGCCCGCGUCUGAUUAGCUAGUUGGUGAGGUAAAGGCUCACCAAGGCGACGAUCAGUAGCUGGUCUGAGAGGAUGAUCAGCCACAUUGGGACUGAGACACGGCCCAAACUCCUACGGGAGGCAGCAGUGGGGAAUCUUGCGCAAUGGGCGAAAGCCUGACGCAGCCAUGCCGCGUGAAUGAUGAAGGUCUUAGGAUUGUAAAAUUCUUUCACCGGGGACGAUAAUGACGGUACCCGGAGAAGAAGCCCCGGCUAACUUCGUGCCAGCAGCCGCGGUAAUACGAAGGGGGCUAGCGUUGCUCGGAAUUACUGGGCGUAAAGGGAGCGUAGGCGGACAUUUAAGUCAGGGGUGAAAUCCCGGGGCUCAACCUCGGAAUUGCCUUUGAUACUGGGUGUCUUGAGUAUGAGAGAGGUAUGUGGAACUCCGAGUGUAGAGGUGAAAUUCGUAGAUAUUCGGAAGAACACCAGUGGCGAAGGCGACAUACUGGCUCAUUACUGACGCUGAGGCUCGAAAGCGUGGGGAGCAAACAGGAUUAGAUACCCUGGUAGUCCACGCCGUAAACGAUGAUUGCUAGUUGUCGGGAUGCAUG
rnacentral:rRNA from 1 species